AACUUCCAAUUCGUGUGUGACCAAGAUGUACUUUCCAAGGUAGUUUGGUUGCUUUCUUCAAAGGGAGGAAUCAUCAAAUUCGAGUUAGAGGAACCGUCAAUUGGAGGAAUGAGUUGUUUCGAGAGCUGAAUUUGAUCAAAACUAAAGUAUGGACUGCAAGUUUGGAGGUUACAGUAACAAAGCUGAAUUAGCCUUGGAAGCAAGGAGAGGCAAAAGUUGUGGAAAAAGUAAAUCUUAUUCUAAGUGCAAUUUAACAUGAGGGCAUAAACUUAACUUACGAAUUGUACAACUUUGGUUAGCAGUGCAUGGUAUAAUUGUAAUUAUGUCAAAAUUUGCUCUAUAACAAGCACUUUUGUUGGUUGUAUGCUACUGAAUUCAUGUAGUAUGCGCUUGCUAAAUAAGUUCGUCUAAUUUGAAAAUACUUCACUAACAGUGGCUUCAGCAGUCAAGAAGAGAGAAAUGGAGUUCGUUUAAGGCUUGCAAUUCGCUAGGAUUUGACUAAGGUCAUGAAUUGAGGGUUGGGGGAAUUGUCAGACAAAACCAGAAAUCAUUGGUUCUUCUAGGGUUUCUUCGUACGUUCUUCGUAAGUCGCUAGGAUUCGACUAAGGUCAUGAAUUGAUGAUCACAUGGUUAUGCCUUGACCUUUUGGCCAUGAAUAUCUUCUUAAACAUCUUGCUCCAUGUUAGCCCUCCCUUUUGUGGAUUGAUAAGAUAACAUAUAUAAUCACACCACUUUCAUAUGUUUCUAAUUUUAAUAAUACUUUUUCUUUGUCACUAUCUCCUGUAUUCGAUAUGUCAUAGAUCUAAUUACUUACAUAGAUACUUUCUUUCGUUCGGAUAAGUAAUCAUAUAACCUGCUGUUAUAUUUUCAUCAUUAUAUUGGUGUGGCAUUAGGCAUAGGAUUGACCCGUUAUAACUGAUCGUUUACACAAACCCUUUAUUUACUCCCACUGAUAAAUUAUUCGGGAUCCAUCACUGGACACUGUUACGAGGUUCUGGCCAUUGGCAGCUAAGAUAAGAAGCGUUGUGUUAGCUUUAUGCACUUUUUCUGUAAUUUUGCUUAGAUUCAUUAACAUAUUAUUGAUCAUGUGUAGAAAAUAGUUUUUUGAUCUCUUUUCCAGGAAAGGAAACAGAGGGUUUGCCAGCAUUCCCUAUGGGCAAGAUUGAUCAGACUCGAACGUGGGAAGUAGGUGAACGGGUUGUUUGGUUAAUCGGGUUUUGUUCACGGUCGCCGGAUCACGGAUAUUUUUGGUUUGUUUUAUUUGAUGAUCCAAUAAAGGGAAUAAGACUGAGUUGACCGAAUAUAUGGGUACAAUUAAAUCAUUUGAGUAGUGGCUGGAAUGGGAGGAGUUUAGUGUCACGUUUUAGAAGUAGAAGUCCACCUUCAAAGAGUCAUCAGUUUGUUUUUUUUUUUUUUUUUUCAAUGUUUGACUCCACGUUUUGUGGUAGCCAUUUGUUUAUUUCUAUUGGUGAUUGUAGGCUAUAUAAAGCCAUGGUCUUUUAUAAUAAUGUAUCACUAAUAUUAGCUUA